rnacentral:tRNA from 1 species
AGGGGAGUAGCUCAAUUGGUAGAGUGGCGGACUCCAAAUCCGUAGGUUGCGGGUUCAAUUCCUGUCUCCCCUGCCA